rnacentral:rRNA from 1 species
AUUGAACGCUGGCGGCAGGCCUAACACAUGCAAGUCGAGCGGAGAGGCGGACGGGGGAGUAAUGCCAAGGAAUCGGCCAGGUAGUGGGGGAUAACGUUCGGAAACGGGAGCUAAUACCGCAUACUAUCAGAUGAGCCUAGGUCGGAUGAGCUAGUUGGUGGGGUAAAGGCCUACCAGGGCGACGAUCCGUAACUGGUCUGAGAGGAUGAUCAGGCACACUGGAACUGAGACACGGUCCAGACUCCUACGGGCGGCAGCAGUGGGGAAUAUUGGACAAUGGGCGAAAGCCUGAUCCAGCCAUGCCGCGUGUAUGAAGAAGGUCUUCGGAUUGUAAAGCACUUUAAGUUGGGAGGCGUUACCAACAGAAUAAGCACCGGCUAGCUUCGUGCCAGCAGCCGCGGUAAUAC